rnacentral:rRNA from 1 species
GUAGGGAAUAUUGCACAAUGGGGGAAACCCUGAUGCAGCAACGCCGCGUGAGUGAAGAAGGCCCUUGGGUUGUAAAGCUCUUUAGACUGGAAAGAAGCUUAUUAAGGUGAACAAUCUUAGUAGGUGACGGUACCAGUAAAAUAAGGACCGGCUAAUUUCGUGCCAGCAGCCGCGGUAAUACGAAAGGUCCAAGCGUUACUCGGAAUCACUGGGCGUAAAGCGCGCGUAGGCGGUCUUAUAUGUCGAUUGUGAAAGCCCCAGGCUCAACCUGGGAACCGCAGUCGAAACUGUGAGACUGGAAUGUUGGAGAGGGUGGGGGAAUACCUAGUGGAGAAGUGAAAUUCGUAGAGAUUAGGUGGAACACCGGAGGCGAAGGCGCCUACGUGGCCAAACAUUGACGCUAAGGCGCGAAAGCGUGGGGAGCAAACAGGAUUAGAUACCCCGGUAGUCC